UUUUUUUUUUUUUGUAAGAUUUUAUUUAUUUAUUCAUGAGAGACAAAGAGAGGCAGAGGGAGAAACAGACUCCUCACAGGGAGCCCGAUGUGGGACUCGAUCCCCAGACCCCGGGAUCACGCCAUGAGCCAAAGGCAGAUGCUUAACUACUGAGCCACCCAGGCAUCCUAAGACCACAAAUCCUAAAAUGAUGCAAACUGGGUAUUUUUUUUUCCAAUGCAGAAGAUACAUCAAAAUUCUAUAGGAGAUUUAUUUUCAUUCAUUUCGUUUCCAAGACUCAUUUAAAAUCUUUGUAAGGGGAGCCUGGGUGGCUCAGUCAGUUAAGUGUCUGCCCUUAGCUUAGGUCAUGAUCCCGGGGUCCUGGGAUCAAGCCCUGCAUCAGGCUCUUGGUUCAGUGGGGAACCUGCUUCUCCCUCUCCCUCUAACUGCCGUGUGUGAACGCUCUCUGUCCCUGUCAAAUAAAUAAAUAAAAUAGUUCAAAAAAGUAAAUAAAGUCUUUUUAAGAGUCUUUGUUUUGUUGUUGUUGUUGUUGUUAAGAGCCUUUGUAUACAAAUUAAGAAAUGAGGUUAAAAAGGCCUGUGACUUACUACAUGUCCCCAUUUCCAGCCCCAGAAAGUUGGGUCACUAAAACUAUGUAUGCUGAUGGACCCUACCCACUGAGAACAGGGUGCCUCAUGGUUGGGCCAGUUAUUUAUAAAAGAUACACUGUAGUUUACAAAAUACUUUUUUUUAAAGUUUUUUUUUUUUAAGUUUAUUUAUUUAAGCAAUCUCUACAUCCAACAUGGGGCUUGAACUCAGGGCCCCAAGAUCAAGAGCCACAUGCUCCUCUGACUGAGCGGGCCAGGCGCCCCUACAAAACAAUUUCAAGGCAAUGCUUCAGAUCCUGGAUAGCCAGCCCCUCUCAAACAGCAAUACCACAUAAUAAUCAUACUAAGCAAUGUCAGUGCCCGCAUCCCAAACAAGCACAGACUUCCAUGCUUCUGUUAUGCCUGCCUGAAAUGCCUUUUGAUCCUUUCCCCACUUCCCCCUGGGUCUCAAAUUUGCUCAUCUUUCAGGGUACAAAUCAACUGGCAGCAAAGUUAACACUUCAAGAGUUGUACUUGCCAACCUUCUCACACCACAGCACACACAGUACAAAAUAUUUCUGGUAACAUUUGUGUGGCACACUCAGGUAAAAGGCAAAGCUGCUCACAGCUGGAAAAGAAUGGCAGGGGGAUCUGGCUGCCCCAGGCCCCACUCAUCUGCCCUGAUGCCAAGGGCAGUCAAAACUUUCAAAGCAUGGUAUACAAACUUCUGUUCUUGCAUUGUCACACAUACAUUGAGAGACUGUUUCACUUACUUAUCUCUCCUGCAGACCACGAGCUCUUAGAAGACUGACAUGCAGUUGUAUUCGUCUUUAUAUUCCCAGAAACUAGCCCAGGGCCUAGCACCUACUAAGUCUUCAGAAUACAUUACUGAACCAAACUGAAUCCUGGAAAUCUCUUAAAAUAGUCUCUCAACAAUUCUUAAGUUGGGCUAUUCACUAUCUUCCCUCCAACCCCAGGAAAAAAAAAAUUGUCCCCUUUUUUUGGGGGGGGGGGCAGGUUAAAAAGUAAGCUCUAUGCCCAAUGUAGGGCCCAAACUUAUGACUGCAAGAUUAAGACCUGAGUUGAGAUCAAAAGUCAGAUGCUUAACCACCUGAGCCACCCAGGUACCCCAAUUAGUUGAUAUUAUAGAUACUUCCCUGUAUAAAUGCACUCAUGAAUAGUUGUCAAAUACCUACUCUAUGCUAGGAAUGAGAAAUAUACAUCAGUGAAUGAGACAAAGAGUCCCUGUCUUGCUUACAAAACUCACAGUCCAGAAAGGAACAGACAUUAAACAAGUAGUUCCAUAUACUUAUUUGUAGGUGAAGUAAAUACCUUAUAAAGGACAUAGAAAACAGGAUACAUGGAUAAAUUUGAAUAAACGAUGACAGGUAAUGUUGAAGAACGGAAAACACAAAUUCUCAGGCAAAAAUGACCAAGUGCCAAAGAGAAUAUCCACAGAACACUCAGUAGUGAAACUUCAAAGCCUUAAGGGCACAUACACACUAAUACACUGGAGAAGGAAAAGGGGGGGGGCAGGGCCAGGCUGCAAAAAAACACCAAGAAUAUAUCAGUAUUUGGCCUGAGUUGGCCUGAACAACUGGAAAAAUGGGAAGACUGGGGAAAGUGGUGAAGGUAUGUGAGGGGUAAAACUCAAAAUUUCAGUUCUGGACAUGUUUGAGAUGCCGACUCGACACUUUGAGAUGUCAUUUGCAAGCUGAAUAUAAAAAUCUGGUCUUGGAGGUAGAGCACUGGGUCGAAGAUUGACAUUUGAGAGCACAAUAGAUAGUAUUUCUAUUUAAGGCCUUGAAAUAGGGACGCCUGGGUGGCUCAGCGGUUGACCGUCUGUCUUCGGCUCAUGGCAUGAUCCCGGGAUCCAGAACCGAGUCCUGCCUCCGGCUCCUUGCAGGAAGCCUACAAGACUCUGCCUGUCUCUACCUCUCUCUCUCUAGCACUCAAGAAUAAAUAAAGAAAAUAUUUUUAAAAAGAAAAUAGUUUUGAAAUGGAUAGCUCCUAGGAAGUGGACACAAAGAAGAGCUUAGGAUGAGGGCGUGGGCGGGGGAGUAUAACCAUUAAAGAUAGGGACGAGGAACAAGAAAUCAGCAGAGGAGAAACCAGAGAGCUGAAGCUAAAGAAGAGAAUGUUUAAGAGGCCUGGGUGGCUCAGUGUCUGCCUUCGGCUCAGGUCGUGAUCCCAGAGUCCUGCGAUCCAGUCCCACAUCAGGCUUCCCGCAGGGAGGGAGCCUGCUUCUCCCUCUGCCUAGGUCUCUGCCUCUCUCUGUGUUUCUCAUGAAUACAUAAAAUAUUAAAAAAAAAAAAAAAAUUGGGCAGCCCGGGUGGCUCAGCGGUUUAGCGCCGCCUUCAGCCCAGGGCGUGAUCCUGGAGUCCGGGGAUCGAGUCCCACAUCGGGCUCCCUGCGUGGAGCCUGCUUCUCCCUAUGCCUGUGUCUCUGCCUCUCUCUCUCUCGUCUCUGUGUAUUCUCAUGAAUAAAUAAAUAAAACCUUUAAAAAAAAUUGAAGAGAAUGUCCUACAAAUCAAACGAAGAAGUGCUUCAAGAAAGGGCAGUGAUGAAGCGCAUCAGCCAUUGCUACAGAGGUGAGAACGAACUGAACACUAGCUUUGGCGACCGAGAGGUCACUGGCGGUUUCCACCAAGUGCUAUUUUAGUGGAGCGCUGGGGGCCUAGACUAGAGCGGGUUCGAAAGAGACCUGGAGAUGAGGCGCCAGCUAAGGCUGAAGCCUCACGCUGCAAACGGGCGCCGAGAGAUGAGGAGGCAACUGGAAAUCUCCGGAGGGCGAAUGAAGUUGUCUCGUUAGAAGGGGCUCAACCCCGCUGCCGUCUUCUCGCACCUGAGCUGAAGACCCCGCCUCCGCCGCCUCUGCGGCUUCUGCGCCCCGCACGGCGAACGCCC
rnacentral:lncRNA from 1 species